GGAUUUUGUCAUCUCACCAUGCAUUAAUUACGAUGCUACUUUAAGAUGUACCAAGCUCACAAAAUAUAAUGGUUGUGAGCGUCUGAGCGAUAAAAACGAGGUCCAAUGAACAAUUGCACCAAGGAGUUUAUAGGUGAGCGAUAAAAACGAGGUCAAAUGAACAAUUGCACCAAGAAGUUUAUAGAUGAGCGAUAAAAACAAGGUCGAAUAAACAAUUGCACCCCUGAGUUUACAGGCUGCAACCGCACUCCUAUCAUCUGCCCAGACAACAAGAAAGGACCUCUCGACUGAACAAGGUGGCGCUACAAGACCCAAUAGUUUAUGAACUAAUGAAUCAAGAUCAACAGUAUGAAUUACUCAAACUGUUGGCCGAGGUGAUCCGUAAAGAUUAUGUAUGGGGAUCUACAUUCAGAGAGGAAAGCUGGAAGUUCGUAG